rnacentral:rRNA from 1 species
UGGGGAAUAUUGGACAAUGGGCGCAAGCCUGAUCCAGCCAUGCCGCUUGUGUGAUGAAGGCCCUAGGGUUGUAAAGCUCUUUCACCGGUGAAGAUAAUGACGGUAACCGGAGAAGAAGCCCCGGCUAACUUCGUGCCAGCAGCCGCGGUAAUACGAAGGGGGCUAGCGUUGUUCGGAUUUACUGGGCGUAAAGCGCACGUAGGCGGACUAUUAAGUCAGGGGUGAAAUCCCGGGGCUCAACCCCGGAACUGCCUUUGAUACUGGUAGUCUUGAGUGCGAGAGAGGAGAGUGGAAUUCCGGGUGUAGAGGUGAAAUUCGUAGAUAUUCGGAGGAACACCAGUGGCGAAGGCGGCUCACUGGAUCGAUACUGACGCUGAGGUGCGAAAGCGUGGGGAGCAAACAGG